GAGCCAGCCUUCAUAAAGCCUCUGCAUGCUGUUAAGACAGCAGCUCUCCUUGGGUGAUGUCCAGGCUUAGUCUUUCUGGCUGGGAUCUUCCAUAGCCUACAUUGACUUGACUGUGCUUUUCUGGCUAUGAUCCUGCUGUUACAGCAGAUACGGCAAGUUACACUUCAGUGAUGUAACCUUCAAGUCGUAGUGUGUGAAAUCUAGCAUGCUAUUGUCUCCUUGGGACGCAAGGGAUGGAGGAAGAGUCUAGAACCCAGUUAGAACCAUGAAACGUAGCAUCUCAGAAGGCAAAUCAAGGAUCGCUCUUCAUGAGAAAGAAUCCGGAUGGUCAGUAACGUUUCUACAAGGCAAGCCUGAACCUUUAGAUUUCUUAGUCCAUCCGAAAAUAUAUCUGAUAUAGCAAAAACAGUAAAGCUGCUGAACACUC